GGGCCUAUAGCUCAGUCGGUUAGAGCAGCGGACUCAUAAUCCGUUGGUCCACAGUUCAAGUCUGUGUGGGCCCACCA
rnacentral:tRNA from 2 species